rnacentral:rRNA from 1 species
GAUGAACGCUGGCGGCGUGCCUAAUACAUGCAAGUCGAGCGAACAGAUAAGGAGCUUGCUCCUUUGACGUUAGCGGCGGACGGGUGAGUAACACGUGGAUAACCUACCUAUAAGACUGGGAUAACUUCGGGAAACCGGAGCUAAUACCGGAUAACAUAUUGAACCGCAUGGUUCAAUAGUGAAAGGCGGCUUUGCUGUCACUUAUAGAUGGAUCCGCGCCGUAUUAGCUAGUUGGUAAGGUAACGGCUUACCAAGGCAACGAUACGUAGCCGACCUGAGAGGGUGAUCGGCCACACUGGAACUGAGACACGGACCAGACUCCUACGGGAGGCAGCAGUAGGGAAUCUUCCGCAAUGGGCGAAAGCCUGACGGAGCAACGCCGCGUGAGUGAUGAAGGUCCUCGGAUCGUAAAACUCUGUUAUCAGGGAAGAACAAAUGUGUAAGUAACUGUGCACAUCUUGACGGUACCUGAUCAGAAAGCCACGGCUAACUACGUG